AAGCCAGUGCAAAUGCACCAUUGUAGUCUUAGAAUAUGGACUAUGAUCUAUCUAAGUCACUAUAGAUAGUAGAUUCUAUUUUAGUAGUUAUAAAUCUAAAUACUAUUGAUUAAGACUUAAGAUCAAACUAGAUCUAGAUUCUAGACUAGUCGAUUCAGAAUAGACACCCUGCCCUAUUAAUAAUUAAGUAUUAUAAUCUAGUGAAAUAGUAAAUAGAUCGUCUAGAGUCUAUAUAGAUCUCAUCUAAUAGAUUUAGAUCUAGCUAGAGAAAUCUAGACUAUAUCUAUUCUAUUCCAUUCUACGUCUCUAGAAACUAGACCUAAUCUACAUAGAAUCUAUCUAGAUAUAGAUCUAGUUUUCAUUAUUAACACAACACGUUUAAGAAGUUAGAAUAAAGUCAAAAUUAAAGGGUUUUCACUGAUCAAAGUGUGACUUGUGGCGCUGAGGCUGAUGGCCAAAUUUAAGCGAGGAGUAGAAUUUCCAUCAACUCUGUGAAGUAUAUAUCUCACAAAGUUCAAUCAUUUCAAUCUGUACUGUGUACAAAAAAACUUUGAAGGUGCAAAGAGAGCCUCAAUUAUGGCAUUUGAUUUGAAUGAUAUCUCUGUUAUACCCUUAGGGACUGUGUAAUGGAAAAAAGGACCUCCUGAGGAAGAGACUCAGCUGCCUUGAAAAACACCAUUGCAGAAAUCGGCCACAGUCUCUAUGCCUUCAAAGUUCUUAAAGAGUUAUGGCCUGCUCAAAUCUUGAUAUGAAAUGUGUUGCAAAAGAUUGAAAAAUGUAUAUUCUUGAAAACCCUGGUGGAGGUUAAGCAACAAGCAUUUUCUGAGCAAGGGCUUAAAUUAAAUCUAACAAUGCAGCACUUAAAGGAUAUGAUCUCAUACCUGGCAUGUGGGAUUACUACACUGCAAUCUCCACAAGCAAAAUCAAAUUUUGCAAUCAAUUUGCCACUCUCAACUUUAGAAAAUAAAAUGACAACCACGAAGAAAAAUAGUUCAAUCUUGGCUAAAAAAUGGUUUGACUGCUUGGUUGUCUCAUUUUGGUGGGAUUGAUUCAAAACUUGCAAAAAAAAUUGAAAAUGUUUGACAUCAGUCCUCCAACCUGAGUUUAUUUGGAGGCGGAAAUGGAGGUGGAAAGAAAAUGGAGAGCAGAUUAGAAAAGGUCUCAAAUAUACUGGACUUUGCAUCAUAAUUACAGCUGCUGUUCAUCAGAAAGAAGAAAAAAUUGUGCCGAUGAGUAUUUUCCUGUUUAAAACUUUAUUUAAGAAAUGCACUGACAAAGUGGACACCAUAACAGAAUAGAGUCAGCGACAUUUGUGACAGAUUUGUUUCACUCUAAAGUAUCCAAUUUACAACAAAUUUGUUUGCCAAUAGUAAAAAGAAAAUUAUUUUAUUUUUAAUCCCAGUCAACACAUUUUUUAAAUGUAGCUGCUAAAAUCAGUGGUGCCAGAUUGGCUUUCAUGUGAAUUUAUUUUCAUGUGAUUCUCUUUAUUUUCUGUUUAAUAGAUAAUUGAAUGUAUAGUUUUAAUUUUUUCAUUACUGUAAAAAUAGUAUUUCAUUUUAUCAUUGAUGUCUGUCUUUUUGUGAAUGUUGACUAAUAUUUAUUCCAUUUGAGUUGUGAGUGGACCUAUUUUUUGAUGCCUCAUUUGUGUAACUCUUGGCACGUUUAUCUAUAUAGGGGAAGUAAUCACUGAUGGAUUGUGGUCACAACAUGGCCUAAAUUGUGCAGGUGUUCCAAAAAUCCAAAAUCAAUUAAUCACAUUCUUUUUAUUUUUUGUUUGCUUUUUUUUUUUUUUUUUU